rnacentral:rRNA from 1 species
CGGGACGGGUGAGUAAUGUCUGGGAAACUGCCUGAUGGAGGGGGGUAACUACUGGAAACGGUAGCUAAUACCGCACAACGUCGCAAGACCAAAGAGGGGGACCUUCGGGCCUCUUGCCAUCGGAUGUGCCCAGAUGGGAUUAGCUAGUAGGUGGGGUAACGGCUCACCUAGGCGACGAUCCCUAGCUGGUCUGAGAGGAUGACCAGCCACACUGGAACUGAGACACGGUCCAG